rnacentral:rRNA from 1 species
CUACGUGCCAGCAGCCGCGGUAAUACGGAAGGUCCAGGCGUUAUCCGGAUUUAUUGGGUUUAAAGGGAGCGUAGGCCGGAGAUUAAGUGUGUUGUGAAAUGUAGACGCUCAACGUCUGACUUGCAGCGCAUACUGGUUUCCUUGAGUACGCACAGCGUUGGCGGAAUUCGUCGUGUAGCGGUGAAAUGCUUAGAUAUGACGAAGAACUCCGAUUGCGAAGGCAGCUGACGGGAGCGCAACUGACGCUUAAGCUCGAAGGUGCGGGUAUCAAACAGGAUUAGAUACCCUGGUAGUCCGCACAGUAAACGAUGGAUGCCCGCUGUUGGUACCUGGUAUCAGCGGCUAAGCGAAAGCAUUAAGCAUCCCACCUGGGGAGUACGCCGGCAACGGUGAAACUCAAAGGAAUUGACGGGGGCCCGCACAAGCGGAGGAACAUGUGGUUUAAUUCGAUGAUACGCGAGGAACCUUACCCGGGCUUGAA